AUUGAACGCUGGCGGCAGGCCUAACACAUGCAAGUCGAACGAGUGGCGGACGGGUGAGUAAUGUCUGGGAAACUGCCCGAUGGAGGGGGAUAACUACUGGAAACGGUCGCUAAUACCGCAUACCAUCGGAUUUGCCACGAUUGGAUUAGCUAGUAGGUGUGGUAAAGGCUCACCUAGGCGACGAUCCCUAGCUGGUCUGAGAGGAUGACCCGCAAACUUGGAACUGAGACACGGUCCAGACUCCUACGGGAGGCAGCAGUGGGGAAUAUUGCACAAUGGGCGCAAGCCUGAUGCAGCCAUGCCGCGUGUAUGAAGAAGGCCUUCGGGUUGUAAAGUACUUUCAGCGGGGAGGCGUUACCCGCAGAAGAAGCACCGGCUAACUCCGUGCCAGCAGCCGCGGUAAUUC
rnacentral:rRNA from 1 species